rnacentral:piRNA from 1 species
UUCUCUGCCUGCUAACCUUCUGCCUAGAC